AGACCCGAAACCCGGUGAUCUAGCCAUGGGCAGGUUGAAGGUUGGGUAACACUAACUGGAGGACCGAACCGACUAAUGUUGAAAAAUUAGCGGAUGACCUGUGGCUGGGGGUGAAAGGCCAAUCAAACCGGGAGAUAGCUGGUUCUCCCCGAAAGCUAUUUAGGUAGCGCCUCGUGAAUUCAUCUCCGGGGGUAGAGCACUGUUUCGGCUAGGGGGCCAUCCCGGCUUACCAACCCGAUGCAAACUGCGAAUACCGGAGAAUGUUAUCACGGGAGACACACGGCGGGUGCUAACGUCCGUCGUGAAGAGGGAAACAACCCAGACCGCCAGCUAAGGUCCCAAAGUCAUGGUUAAGUGGGAAACGAUGUGGGAAGGCCCAGACAGCCAGGAUGUUGGCUUAGAAGCAGCCAUCAUUUAAAGAAAGCGUAAUAGCUCACUGGUCGAGUCGGCCUGCGCGGAAGAUGUAACGGGGCUAAACCAUGCACCGAAGCUGCGGCAGCGAACGUAUCACUUAAAGCGAUUCAGCGGGUUACGAUUGACGGAGCGAAGCGACGUCAAAGCGUAUACAAAGUCGAGUCGGUUUAAGGAUACGUUCGUUGGGUAGGGGAGCGUUCUGUAAGCCUGCGAAGGUGGCCUGUGAGGGUUGCUGGAGGUAUCAGAAGUGCGAAUGCUGACAUAAGUAACGAUAAAGCGGGUGAAAAGCCCGCUCGCCGGAAGACCAAGGGUUCCUGUCCAACGUUAAUCGGGGCAGGGUGAGUCGACCCCUAAGGCGAGGCCGAAAGGCGUAGUCGAUGGGAAACGGGUUAAUAUUCCCGUACUUGGUGUUACUGCGAAGGGGGGACGGAGAAGGCUAUGUUGGCCGGGCGACGGUUGUCCCGGUUUAAGCGUGUAGGUGUGUGUUCCAGGUAAAUCCGGUUCACUUUAACACUGAGGCGUGACGACGAGGCACUACGGUGCUGAAGCAACAAAUGCCCUGCUUCCAGGAAAAGCCUCUAAGCAUCAGGUAACAUCAAAUCGUACCCCAAACCGACACAGGUGGUCAGGUAGAGAAUACCAAGGCGCUUGAGAGAACUCGGGUGAAGGAACUAGGCAAAAUGGUGCCGUAACUUCGGGAGAAGGCACGCUGACACGUAGGUGAAGUGAUUUACUCACGGAGCUGAAGUCAGUCGAAGAUACCAGCUGGCUGCAACUGUUUAUUAAAAACACAGCACUGUGCAAACACGAAAGUGGACGUAUACGGUGUGACGCCUGCCCGGUGCCGGAAGGUUAAUUGAUGGGGUCAGCGCAAGCGAAGCUCCUGAUCGAAGCCCCGGUAAACGGCGGCCGUAACUAUAACGGUCCUAAGGUAGCGAAAUUCCUUGUCGGGUAAGUUCCGACCUGCACGAAUGGCGUAAUGAUGGCCAGGCUGUCUCCACCCGAGACUCAGUGAAAUUGAACUCGCUGUGAAGAUGCAGUGUACCCGCGGCAAGACGGAAAGACCCCGUGAACCUUUACUAUAGCUUGACACUGAACAUUGAGCCUUGAUGUGUAGGAUAGGUGGGAGGCUUUGAAGUGUGGACGCCAGUCUGCAUGGAGCCGACCUUGAAAUACCACCCUUUAAUGUUUGAUGUUCUAACGUGGACCCGUGAUCCGGGUUGCGGACAGUGUCUGGUGGGUAGUUUGACUGGGGCGGUCUCCUCCUAAAGAGUAACGGAGGAGCACGAAGGUUGGCUAAUCCUGGUCGGACAUCAGGAGGUUAGUGCAAUGGCAUAAGCCAGCUUGACUGCGAGCGUGACGGCGCGAGCAGGUGCGAAAGCAGGUCAUAGUGAUCCGGUGGUUCUGAAUGGAAGGGCCAUCGCUCAACGGAUAAAAGGUACUCCGGGGAUAACAGGCUGAUACCGCCCAAGAGUUCAUAUCGACGGCGGUGUUUGGCACCUCGAUGUCGGCUCAUCACAUCCUGGGGCUGAAGUAGGUCCCAAGGGUAUGGCUGUUCGCCAUUUAAAGUGGUACGCGAGCUGGGUUUAGAACGUCGUGAGACAGUUCGGUCCCUAUCUGCCGUGGGCGCUGGAGAACUGAGGGGGGCUGCUCCUAGUACGAGAGGACCGGAGUGGACGCAUCACUGGUGUUCGGGUUGUCAUGCCAAUGGCACUGCCCGGUAGCUAAAUGCGGAAGAGAUAAGUGCUGAAAGCAUCUAAGCACGAAACUUGCCCCGA
rnacentral:rRNA from 1 species